UGCCCAGCAACUCCUAUCCCUACAUCCUCGUGGUACUGGCCGGGGUACGAGUAACCUUGGGGAAGAUCGGGUAACCAACCCCCGGUGGGAACUUUGGUCGUAUGCUGACAGGGAAGG
rnacentral:ribozyme from 1 species